GUAUAUAUUACGGACACAGCUUGAACACCGAGUUACUGCUGCCCAGACAACGAAAAAAAUAAGAUACGCUUACAUAUACAGUCACUUCAGAUUCAACUACUUUACCUGGUGGGAGUGAGUGAACGGCCAGUUUGUCUUUAGUCUCCAUUCCAUCAACGUCUUGCUUCCGUAAGAUUGUGGAGUGUGUUGGGACGACUGUAUCUAGCCGAUAGAAGUAUGUUGCGUCAGGUGCUACAGCUGUAUCUGAUGGUGGCUCUGGCACCCCUGGGGGUUCGCCCUGCACACCUGGAGCCCUCCUUUACCUGUGCCAGCACCGUGACCAAGUACUCGACCAUCAUCGCUACUAAAUGGAUGUCGGAGACGAUAACAAUGUCCAUGGUCCAGACUGAUCAGCUCCCGCUAAAUAUUAACAGAUAUUUACCGCCGGGCUUGGAUGGUUACCUACCUCCAGUGAUUGACUCCUAUCUCCCGCCACCAACUACACACACAACUCCACAUUCUAUAGUCAACACAGAUGACACACAUUCGACGCACCACCUGGGUAAUAUAAUAAAUGCCCCGUGUCGCUGUGAUACUUGCUCCGUCGUGGCACAGGAGAACCCCUGCCUCUGCCAACCUGACUUCUUGUGUAGUGAACCAGUUUUUCUUCGUGCUCCAGCAGGACAUUAAAAUGACGGGGGGUAACGUGUCUCAAGUGUUGCUAACAUUUUCCUUUGUAUAAUAUCAAUGGAUCACCGUCUUUCAGUGAUAUUUGUUUACUCUUUUCAUUGGGCGAGAAAAUAAUUAUACAUAUUCAGAAUAUGACAUUUGGACCAGGACCAAUUAUUUUUUACAGUAUUUUGUUGAUACUCAUCGUAAGGAAUACACUUUAACUACUAAAACUUAAGAAAGAUCAUGUUAAAAUUAAAAUAGGGACAAGGCUAUUGUGACAAAAGUUACAAUUAUAAAAAAAAAAACUGAUCUGUCACAACAGACGGUGCUACUUCCUUGCCUCGCCUUGGCUACCACCUCCCUCCCCGCCACAAGCAGAAAAAAAACUGGUCUCCACUCAUCUACAGACUUGCAGAAACUUGUCGAUGAGCUUCCGUGUCUGCUGUGUCGUGUAAUUGCAUUCAAUAACAUACUGUUUUAAGUCCUUGUUUGCAUAGGCUUCCGCAGGAUUUUUUCUGUCGGGGAGGGGGUGGGGGUAAGAAAGCAAGACAAGACCUGGCAUAUCAAAUCAGUUUAUUCUCAAAACAGGUACAGUAUAUACAUCCAUAUAAAAGUAAAGUAUGAUCAAAUGUAAUCCGAGUUACUUUCGAGUACUGCAUGACCAGCAAUAUAACUUACCUGUGUUAUCACCAAAUUACUAAUCACUAAAAUUAUUAUAGGGUUGACCUUAAACAUUAAAAACUAACGAAAAUU